UACGUAGGGCGCAAGCGUUAUCCGGAAUUAUUGGGCGUAAAGAGCUCGUAGGCGGUUUCUCGCGUCUGCUGUGAAAGUCCGGGGCUCAACUCCGGAUCUGCGGUGGGUACGGGCAGACUAGAGUGCAGUAGGGGAGACUGGAAUUCCUGGUGUAGCGGUGAAAUGCGCAGAUAUCAUGAGGAACACCGAUGGCGAAGGCAGGUCUCUGGGCUGUAACUGACGCUGAGGAGCGAAAGCAUGGGGAGCGAACAGG
rnacentral:rRNA from 1 species